UGGGUUGUCCCCCUUUCUGGGAGAGAGCGAGGAGGAGACGAUUGCCAAUAUCACUGAAGCUAAGUGGGACUUUAAGGCUGAGGAAUUUGAGAGCGUCUCUGCCGAGGCCAAAGAUUUCAUUUCUAGACUCGUCCUUAAAACCCCAAGUGACAGAAUGACCACAACUGAGUGUCUGGAACACAAGUGGUUGAGGCGGUCUGCAAAGCGGGAACGCAUUCCAGCUCGAUCGUUGUCAACGAAACGCUUGAAGAAGUUUGUUUAUCGCCGGAAGUGGCAGAAAGCAGUAAACGCAAUGUUGGCGCUGAAACGAAUGGGUGUCAAAUUGCAGUGAUGUGUCAAGGCAGAACGUUGUCAAUCGUCUGGAUGUGCUGGCACCAUUUACAAAGGCUCAGACGUUGUUUGAUCGUGGAAAUAUAACUUUCAGUGUUGACACAGCGUGACUUACAUCUUGUGUCUACGUUUCUGAGUGAGGCCGGGAAACACUAACUAUUAAAAAAAUGCCUCAAAAUAUAUAUUUUCUACAGUCGAACCCCGUUGGUUCGAGCUCCGAUGGACCGGUGAAAAUACAUCGAACCUCGGGAAAUUCGAGCCAAGCGUGAUGCUUACAUUUAGAUAAAAAAAAUCGGUUCUUUACAUGCAAUUCGAGCCAACGAGGAAAUCGAGCCAAGCGAGAUCGAGCCAACGGGGUUCGACUGUGACUUCAUUUGACGAAUCACUUGUGCCUGAUUGCAGACCAGAUUCUAUGUAACAUAUUCUAUGUAUACACAACUUUUUACCAUUUUGUUCCUAUAACAGCAUUUAAGAAGUAAUUCUUUGACUUUCUGGGUCUGAGUCCUGAAUUAUACAGCUUAAAUCCUAUCGUUCAUUUUUUUAAUUUUCCUUAAACUUGAAAUAUUGAGGAUCAAACAAAUGUUAUUUUUAUUCCCUAAUCGGGUAAUUUUAUCCACUGGUAUUCAGACUCGCUGUUGACAAAAUGGCGAGAGAGCCAGUUGAAAAUUGGUCAGGAGAGAGAGAGAGAAAUUGUGAAUGUAUAUAUUAUAUAUAAAUAUAUUUUGUUGAUUUUGCCAACUGUGUAAAAGUAGAGGAUCAAUCCCACUAUGGAAAUAUUACUUGCCCUCAUUCGGAACUCCUCGGCAAUUUUUAUCGAAAACAACCUCGGAUGUAUGCCGGUACAUAUGUAGAAGUAGUUCGUAAAAAUGAAUUAUAUUAUUAAUGAAAUGAAGUGUUUUAGGUGUCAAUUUAUUGAUCUAAUUUUAAAUUGAUUGCCAGUGAAGUGUAUUAUUGCAAACAUAAUUAAGAUUCCCAAGAGUUAAGUCAAUAAGUUUAACUGCUAAAUUAAAUUUCUACGCGAUCUACUUGCAGCAGACUAAAACAUACCGAUUUCUGAGUGUGUAAACCGUCCAUGUACAUCCGAGGUUGUUUUCGAUAAAAAUGGCCGAGGAAUUCCGAAUGGCUUGCCCUACCGCCAGUUGUUUUACCAGUAUUGAAGUUAACCUUAUGAUAUAUUGUGAUAUUCACAUUAACAUUUCCAUUUCGAUUUUUCAUUUUAUUAAUGAAUAAAACUGCCAUUAACACUAGCUCUCAAGAUUAUUUUAAAUACAUCUGGCUUUUCUGUGGACCAGUAACAUUAUCGACAUUUCUUAAAAUGGCUUCUUUUAAAGCUGUACUCUCACAGAUUGACCGUUUUUACAACAUUUUUAUAUUUUGUCUUGGAAUGAACCGAUUUGUCUGGAUACCAGUGAUACAAGACUGUUGACAAAAGAUCAGAUCGCAGUUUCUCAUAUUUAAGUUGGACAUUGAUAUUUUAUGGCUAAAAGCAUUAUUAACGCUUUCAGUGAAAUGAGUUCCGGCAGUUUCCCAAACAAUUGAGAUCUGUUCUAUUGUGAGUUAUAUGACUGAAUUGAAGGCAAAUCAAAACUUUCAAUCUGUGAGAGUGCAGCUUUAUGUGACUGAUAGGUUGUAUUAUUCAAAUAUUUCAAUAUCCCAAAAUACAACCAUGAUAAGCCUAUACGUUUCCAGUCAGAGGACCAUCACUUACCUUAUAUGGAAUGAAAUUGCCAAAGGUCAUCUUAAUUUUAGAAAUGGUUUUCCUUUUUUUUUAAAUGGUAUUAUUCAACACACAUUCUGUUUUCUUUCAAAAUUGUUUCAUUAUUUAUUUAUUUAACAUCACAAUACAUUUCAUUUUGUAAUUAAUUCUAUAAUUGUUUGUUAAAUAAUUUCUUUAUUAAUUUUUUUUCGAAUGCUGUGACGUUUAUUUAUGAAAAUAAAUAUACAUUGACUU